rnacentral:misc_RNA from 1 species
UUUCCGUAGGUGAACCUGCGGAAGGAUCAUUAUUGAAUAAACCUGAUGUGGUUGUAGCUGGCCCUUUCGGGAGCAUGUGCACACCCGUCGUCUUUAUCUUUCCACCUGUGCACCUUUUGUAGACCUGGAUGUAACACUUUCCGAGGCAACUCGGUCGGGAGGAAUGCUGUCAGCCUUCCUUGAAUGUCCAGGCCUAUGUUUUCAUAUACCCCAAAGAAUGUAACAGAAUGUAUUAUUGGGCCUUGUGCCUAUAAACUAUAUACAACUUUCAGCAACGGAUCUCUUGGCUCUC